rnacentral:ncRNA from 1 species
GCCGCGAGCUGUGAUCUGAAGGAAGCCCGCGCAAAAAUCCAACCUUUGAGAAGCACGAACUCAGGGCGGGGCCGUUGUACGGAGGCGAGUCUCCAAGACAAGACAAAGCCCCAUACAGCCUAGGAAUACAGCAGUAAAUGGGGCGGGG